CAAAUUAUGCUUGUGCAUCAACGCAAGCUGGGGAUGAGUUUUCGGCGGAAGGGUUAGAUUGUGUGGAUCGCAUGAUCAAGCAUUUCAGAUGACCGAAAUUUGAGGGUUUCACAUUUAUCGCACACAAUUCUUCGGGUUUCGACUCUUUUAUACUGCUCGAGUAUUUUACUAGUCAGGGACUAACUCCAAAAAUCAUACUCCAAGGCUGUAGACUUGUUUACAUGUACGACCAAGCCUUUAAACAGAGAUACAUCGACAGCUAUAGCUUCUUGCCCAUAAAAUUGUCAAAAAUGACCUCGGCUUUAAACCUAAACACCAGCGAAAAAGUAUCCUUUUGGAUGUAUAACAUUAGCCGGAUGUGCUAUGAAAGUGUUCAAAACGCUUUUUUUAACCAAAGACACAAUUGCCUUAACGCACAAAAAUGCCUACAUCAAUCAGUACAAAUCUUACUCAAACCCUUCCAUACAAUGGUUGGAAUACAUUAAAG